GGACGCUUCGGCCGAGACUGUACUGCUACAGACGUGUGGGUGGUUGGAUGGAAUACGUGUGUGAUACAAAUCCCUAGUUCGAAUUCCCCAUUUUCGACAUGGAUAUGUGAGCUAGAUCCGAGAUCCUCACAGUUGGUAAUCGGAGCCUCUCGUCCUGGAUCUUCCGCCGCAUAGCCACUACACCAGAUUCAGCGACCGUCGACGGCGACAGGCCAUGGAGGACCUCAGUGAAGAGAGCUGAGCGGUGUCCGAUCUGCUUCGUCACGAGAUCUCCAUCGAUCUGGACAAGAAGUUCAAGGCGCAAGGUGAAUCUCUCCUCAAGUCCAUGAACAAGAUGCUAGAAGCCAACAAUUCGACGCUCGACAACCUCAUGUCCAUCCGUGAUGAGAUCGCGCUUGACCUCGAGCAAGUUAGAGCGGACGUCAACAAGCUCGAGUCCACGGAUCCGGGGCUCAAGCUGGACGGGAGUUCGAUGUCGCACAACGACGACCAAGCUCGUGGAAGCGCUGCCGGCGACGGCCUGGGCUUCGAGGGUGACCACCGCGGGAAGGUGCAUAACAUCUAUGUGCCUCCUUCGGCAAGAGGUGCGCGAGAUCCAAAUCCUUCGCCCAAAUUUUUUUUGCCUCGUGAAUUCUCUGUUUCGGAUGCUGCUGAGUCAUCCCCAUUUUCUAUGCAUAUGGAAAUGCCUCGAUUCGAUGGCACCAAUCCACGGAUGUGGCAAAACCGUUGUGAAGAUCAGUUCAGAUUAUGUAGCGUCCCAGCCCAUAGAUGGAUUUCCUUGGCCACAACUCAAUUUGAAGGAGUUGCGCCGCGUUGGCUGGAAUCUGUUCAACGUCGUAUGCCUAACUCCAAUUGGAAUGAAUUUUGUAAUGCAGUUCAAAGCAGGUUUGACCGUAACCAGCACCAAACUCUCCUGCACAAGUUAUUUUGUAUUGCCCAAACUAGCACAAUGGAGGAUUAUGUGGAUCGCUUCGCGGAGUUGUAUGAUCAGUUAACAGCCUAUGAGGAUUCGCCAAAUGCCCUGCAUUACACCACAAGAUUCCUGGAUGCUCUGAAACCUGGAGUUAGGAUUGCUGUUGCACUGCAGAAAUCCAAGGACUUAGAUGUGGCUUAUGAACUUGCUCUGUUGCAUGAAGAAUUAGGAGAAGGGAUUACACCCAUCAAUAAUUUUCCAGCCAGGCGGAUGUCGUUAGUCUCUUCUGCUGUAACAUCCCCUAAAGUCAGAACUGUAGAUGAUCGGAAGGGGUCUGAAACUGUUAAACCCACCAUAAUGAGGAUAAGUGGUUUACAUUGCAUGAGUAUAUAUAGGAGAUCCAAGUGCCUCUGUUUUGUUUGUGGUGAAAGGUGGUCCAAGGAUGAUGUGUGCAAGUCCAUUGUUCAGCUGCAUUUUGUUUAGGAGACGAUUGAGCAACUGCAGGCUAGUACACCUGAGGAUUCUGAAACUUCUGACAGUGAGCAUCCCUCAUCCACUACCUCUUCAGUGCAUUCCAUCAGGCUCUCUGCUGCUGCUAUGGGAAAGGAACCUGAGGCCCUUGUUAUGAAGUUGACAGUCUUCAUCCAAGGGCAUUCCUUGCAAUUUCUUGUGGAUUCUGGCAGUACACAUUCUUUCCUUGAUAGCAAGUAUGUGAUAUUGUCAGGUGUUUCUUCCAUUACUCCAGUCAAUGUUACAUAUGCAGGUGGAACUGUUAGUUCUUGUCAGCAUAGUAUUAAUGCUUGCAGUUGGGCCAGUAAUGGGGUGCAGUUUACAUCAGAUUUCAAGCUGCUGUCUCUCAACACUUAUGAUGGUAUACUCAGAUUAGACUGGUUGGCCCAACAUAGUCCCAUGAAAAUCGACUGGGUUGAGCAGUGGAUGUCUUUCAAUCAUGCAGGAAAAUGGUUACCUUGCAAGGGAUCAAUUCAACUGAGUGUGCUUAUACAUGUGUAUCCAUCUCAACUAUUCAGGUUUCAGAUCCUUCUCCAAUUCCUAUAGGAAUGCAAUAGCUCAUUGACGAAUUUGCAGAUGUGUUUGCAACUCCCACAGAAUUACCUCCCAGGAGGUAUUGUGACCGCCACAUUCCCCUGAUUCCAGGGGAAGACCUGUUUCUGCGAGACCAUACAAAAUUGUUCCUCAGUUGAAGGAUGAACUUGAAAGGCAGAUCAAUGAACUGCUUAAAUCUGGUAUGAUCAGGGUCGGCAAAAGCCCAUUUUCUUCACCUAUGUUGCUUGUUAAGAAGAAGGGUGGAGAGUGGAGAAUGGUGGUUGAUUACAGGAUGUUAAAUGCAAUCACUAUUACGGGGAAGUUCCCAGUCCCUGUGAUAGAUGUGCUAUUGGAUGAGUUGUCUGGGGCUGCUUGGUUCACAAAAUUGGAUUUGAGAGCUGGCUACCACCAAAUUAGACUGGCCCCAGGAGAAGAAUAUAAGACUGCCUUUUCCACUCACAUUGGUCACUAUGAGUUCAAUGUGUUGGCCUUUCGGCUUAGUGGAGCUUCUGGCACUUUCCAGGGUUCACUGAACACUACCUUGAAGCCUGUAAACAGAAAGAAUACAUUGUGUUUCUUCGAUGACAUCUUGGUUUUCAGCAAAACUUACCAAGAGCACCUAUCACAUGUUAGAAAAGUGCUAGAGCCGCUCAGAGCUGACCAGUGGAAGGUUAAAAUGUCCAAAAUGUGCCUUUGCUCAGCAACAAAUCGACUACUUGGGACAUACCAUUAGUGCUGCAGGUGUGGCAACUGAUUCUACCAAAAUUACUGUUGUCCAAAAUUGUCCUACCCCUACCAAUGUUAAAGAAGUGAGAUAACUUCUUGGUCUAAGUGGCUAUUACAGGAAAUGUAUUCAACAUUAUGGCAUAAUCAGCAAACCAUUGACCAAGCUUCUUGAGAAGGGAGUGCCAUUUUUAUGGAUUCCAAUUACUGAAGAAGCCUUUUUCACUCUCAAGAAAGCAUUGGUUGAGGCUCCUGUACUAGCUCUUCCUCAGUUUGAUAAGUCGUUUGUUAUUGAAACAGAUGCUUGUGAUAAGGGAAUUGGAGAAGUUUUGAUGCAGGAAGGCACCCUUUGGCAUAUGUUAAUAAGGCUCUUGGCCCCAAGAACAGAGUCCAUUUGCAGAGUCAAAAGUUUAUCACUGCUUGGCAGCAGAAAGCACUUACCAAGUUGAUGGGGUUGGAUUAUCAAAUUGCUUAUAAGAAGGGGACUGAGAAUUCGGCAGCAGAUGCUCUGUCCAGAAGACCACCAGAGAAGCAAUUGUUCUCUGUUUCCAAGGUACAGCCUGUGUGGAUGGCAGAAAUUAGUGACAGUUACAAUGGUGAUAAGACAGCUACUGAACUUUUUCAACAGUUAGCUCUUGAUCCUACUUCCAAACCUAAUCACCAGCUACUCCAAGGGAUAAUUAGAUACAAAGGAGCUAUCUGGAUUGGUAAUAAGCUGGACCUUCAUAACAAGAUCUUUGCUGCUUUCCAUGACAGUCCAGUUGGUGGUCAUUCAGGAUUCCCUGUCACCUAUCGCAGAAUUCACUCCCUCUUUAGGUCGUCGGGAAUGAAGAAAUUUAUUAGAGAAAAGUCCAAUCAUGUCUCACUUGCCAGCAAGCUAAGCCAGAAAGGGUUAAUUACCCCGGGUUGCUGUCCCCACUGCUAGUUCGUAAGAAAGCCUGGGAAUAUGUUACUAUGGAUUUCUUUUCUGGUCUUCCUAUCUCAGGUUAUUUUGACUGUAUAUUCCUGGUGAUUGAUAAAUUUACUAAAUAUGGUCAUUUCAUGCCAUUAAAACAUACUUUCACUACUGCUAAGGUGGCUGAAGUGUUCUUGGAUAAUGUGUACAAGCUACAUCGUAUGCCCGAGCAUAUAGUGUCUGACAGAGAUCCUAUCUUCACUAGCACAUUUUGGCAGACUCUGAUCAA